CCUACGGGAGGCAGCAGUGGGGGAUAUUGCACAAUGGGGGAAACCCUGAUGCAGCGACGCCGCGUGUGGGAAGACGGUCCUCUGGAUUGUAAACCACUGUCCCCAGGGACGAAGAUGACGGUAUCUGGGGAGGAAGCUCCGGCGAACUACGUGCCAGCAGCCGCGGUAAUACGUAGGGAGCGAGCGUUGUCCGGAAUUACGGGGUGUAAAGGGAGCGUAGGCGGGGAUGCAAGUUGGGUGUCAAAACUACCGGCUCAACUGGUAGUCGCACUCAAAACUGCAGCUCUUGAGUGAAGUAGAGGCAGGCGGAAUUCCUAGUGUAGCGGUGAAAUGCGUAGAUAUCAGGAGGAACACCGGUGGCGAAGGCGGCCUGCUGGACUGCAACUGACGUUGAGGCCCGAAAGCGUGGGGAGCAAACAGGAUUAGAUACCCCAGUAGUC
rnacentral:rRNA from 1 species